UAAAAGACAAACCCUGGGUUUCCGUGCCAACGUUUAACUGUCCGUCUUAUAUGAAAUUUUUUUAUAAUUAGUAUUUUCAUUGCUGUUAGAUGAUAAAACAUGAUUAAUACUUUAUGCGUGACUUAUCUUUUUAAUUUUUUUUAUAAUUUUUUAAAAUAAGACGGACGGUCAAACGUUGGACACGAAAACCAGGGUUUGUCUCUUU
rnacentral:pre_miRNA from 1 species